UUAAGCGACUAAGCGUACACGGUGGAUGCCCUGGCAGUCAGAGGCGAUGAAGGACGUGCUAAUCUGCGAUAAGCGUCGGUGAGGUGAUAUGAACCGUUAUAACCGGCGAUUUCCGAAUGGGGAAACCCAGUGUGUUUCGACACACUAUCAUUAACUGAAUCCAUAGGUUAAUGAGGCGAACCGGGGGAACUGAAACAUCUAAGUACCCCGAGGAAAAGAAAUCAACCGAGAUUCCCCCAGUAGCGGCGAGCGAACGGGGAGGAGCCCAGAGCCUGAAUCAGUGUGUGUGUUAGUGGAAGCGUCUGGAAAGGCGCGCGAUACAGGGUGACAGCCCCGUACACAAAAAUGCACAUAUUGUGAGCUCGAUGAGUAGGGCGGGACACGUGGUAUCCUGUCUGAAUAUGGGGGGACCAUCCUCCAAGGCUAAAUACUCCUGACUGACCGAUAGUGAACCAGUACCGUGAGGGAAAGGCGAAAAGAACCCCGGCGAGGGGAGUGAAAAAGAACCUGAAACCGUGUACGUACAAGCAGUGGGAGCCUCUUUAUGGGGUGACUGCGUACCUUUUGUAUAAUGGGUCAGCGACUUAUAUUCUGUAGCAAGGUUAACCGAAUAGGGGAGCCGAAGGGAAACCGAGUCUUAACUGGGCGUUAAGUUGCAGGGUAUAGACCCGAAACCCGGUGAUCUAGCCAUGGGCAGGUUGAAGGUUGGGUAACACUAACUGGAGGACCGAACCGACUAAUGUUGAAAAAUUAGCGGAUGACUUGUGGCUGGGGGUGAAAGGCCAAUCAAACCGGGAGAUAGCUGGUUCUCCCCGAAAGCUAUUUAGGUAGCGCCUCGUGAAUUCAUCUCCGGGGGUAGAGCACUGUUUCGGCAAGGGGGUCAUCCCGACUUACCAACCCGAUGCAAACUGCGAAUACCGGAGAAUGUUAUCACGGGAGACACACGGCGGGUGCUAACGUCCGUCGUGAAGAGGGAAACAACCCAGACCGCCAGCUAAGGUCCCAAAGUCAUGGUUAAGUGGGAAACGAUGUGGGAAGGCCCAGACAGCCAGGAUGUUGGCUUAGAAGCAGCCAUCAUUUAAAGAAAGCGUAAUAGCUCACUGGUCGAGUCGGCCUGCGCGGAAGAUGUAACGGGGCUAAACCAUGCACCGAAGCUGCGGCAGCGACACUAUGUGUUGUUGGGUAGGGGAGCGUUCUGUAAGCCUGUGAAGGUGGCCUGUGAGGGUUGCUGGAGGUAUCAGAAGUGCGAAUGCUGACAUAAGUAACGAUAAAGCGGGUGAAAAGCCCGCUCGCCGGAAGACCAAGGGUUCCUGUCCAACGUUAAUCGGGGCAGGGUGAGUCGACCCCUAAGGCGAGGCCGAAAGGCGUAGUCGAUGGGAAACAGGUUAAUAUUCCUGUACUUGGUGUUACUGCGAAGGGGGGACGGAGAAGGCUAUGUUGGCCGGGCGACGGUUGUCCCGGUUUAAGCGUGUAGGCUGGUUUUCCAGGCAAAUCCGGAAAACCAAGGCUGAGGCGUGAUGACGAGGCACUACGGUGCUGAAGCGACAAAUGCCCUGCUUCCAGGAAAAGCCUCUAAGCAUCAGGUAACAUCAAAUCGUACCCCAAACCGACACAGGUGGUCAGGUAGAGAAUACCAAGGCGCUUGAGAGAACUCGGGUGAAGGAACUAGGCAAAAUGGUGCCGUAACUUCGGGAGAAGGCACGCUGAUAUGUAGGUGAAGCGACUUGCUCGUGGAGCUGAAAUCAGUCGAAGAUACCAGCUGGCUGCAACUGUUUAUUAAAAACACAGCACUGUGCAAACACGAAAGUGGACGUAUACGGUGUGACGCCUGCCCGGUGCCGGAAGGUUAAUUGAUGGGGUUAGCGGUAACGCGAAGCUCUUGAUCGAAGCCCCGGUAAACGGCGGCCGUAACUAUAACGGUCCUAAGGUAGCGAAAUUCCUUGUCGGGUAAGUUCCGACCUGCACGAAUGGCGUAAUGAUGGCCAGGCUGUCUCCACCCGAGACUCAGUGAAAUUGAACUCGCUGUGAAGAUGCAGUGUACCCGCGGCAAGACGGAAAGACCCCGUGAACCUUUACUAUAGCUUGACACUGAACAUUGAGCCUUGAUGUGUAGGAUAGGUGGGAGGCUUUGAAGUGUGGACGCCAGUCUGCAUGGAGCCGACCUUGAAAUACCACCCUUUAAUGUUUGAUGUUCUAACGUUGGCCCGUAAUCCGGGUUGCGGACAGUGUCUGGUGGGUAGUUUGACUGGGGCGGUCUCCUCCUAAAGAGUAACGGAGGAGCACGAAGGUUGGCUAAUCCUGGUCGGACAUCAGGAGGUUAGUGCAAUGGCAUAAGCCAGCUUGACUGCGAGCGUGACGGCGCGAGCAGGUGCGAAAGCAGGUCAUAGUGAUCCGGUGGUUCUGAAUGGAAGGGCCAUCGCUCAACGGAUAAAAGGUACUCCGGGGAUAACAGGCUGAUACCGCCCAAGAGUUCAUAUCGACGGCGGUGUUUGGCACCUCGAUGUCGGCUCAUCACAUCCUGGGGCUGAAGUAGGUCCCAAGGGUAUGGCUGUUCGCCAUUUAAAGUGGUACGCGAGCUGGGUUUAGAACGUCGUGAGACAGUUCGGUCCCUAUCUGCCGUGGGCGCUGGAGAACUGAGGGGGGCUGCUCCUAGUACGAGAGGACCGGAGUGGACGCAUCACUGGUGUUCGGGUUGUCAUGCCAAUGGCACUGCCCGGUAGCUAAAUGCGGAAGAGAUAAGUGCUGAAAGCAUCUAAGCACGAAACUUGCCCCGAGAUGAGUUCUCCCUGAGACUUAGAGUCUCCUGAAGGAACGUUGAAGACGACGACGUUGAUAGGCCGGGUGUGUAAGCGCAGCGAUGCGUUGAGCUAACCGGUACUAAUGAACCGUGAGGCUUNNNNNN
rnacentral:rRNA from 1 species